AAAAUUCUGACUUGUUUCAUGCACCAAUUGAAGGCUUGUUCUGAUGUUAUAUGCAAACUGUUUUAAUUCCCCUGAGGCGGCGAGCGCUGCAGGUCGGGCGUGUUGUGUCUGGCAGGCGGGCGGCUUCAUGGCAGCAGCCUCAGAGCUCAGAGGUGUCAGGCCAAGGAAAGGUGUUAGAGAAUCAGCUGUGGAUUUGACUUUGUGAUGCAGCUGCAGUCACAUUUCCUGCCAGCAGAGGGAAACAAAGCGAAGGUAAUCUUCCUCACCUCCUUUCUUUACUUGGUCAAAUGUAUCAGUUCAAUAAUGGAUAUUUUCUGAAUUAAUUUAUAAUUUAAAUGACAAUCUUGACCUAAAAUGUUUUAUUUCUUUCAGUUGUAUUGUUUAUAAGCAGUUAUAUAUCCCAUUAUUGCUCCUACCAUCAAAUAUUUACUGUAAUGUACAAGACAUGCUAAAAACACUUUACAGGGAUGAGAUUCAGGCGUAUCUACACAGUAGAUUUAUGACUUUUAUCUGGAGGAAAUUUAAAUUUUACAAGGCACUAACAACAGUGAGUGCUGGCAAAUAAAAUAUUGUCUUCUAGCAUUAUAAUAAAGGCAUAAAAUAUUAACAUAUGAGUCUGGUUUCAGGGGCUUUGUCCAAGAAACAGGCAGGAAAAGUGAAAUACAGACUACAUUUAAUGCCAUCCAUGAAUAGAUCUCAUAAAUAAGGUUUGAUACAAUACAAACCUUAAGGAUUAUGACAAAAUCAUGAGCAGAAAUAUAAUUAUGAAUUAGUUUAAACUUCAGCUAAAACUAUGGAGUCGUUUGAUUCACAUAAAGCUGCCUUUCCUUCAGUAAAAGACCUAAAAACACAGUCUUUUAUCUCAACACUGAGAUUUGACUCUGCUUUUCUGUCUAAUAAAGAUUCUCCUCAGGGCGCUGAGUGCAAACUAACGAGGCCAAGCAGAUGAUAUCAGUUAAGCUUAUUUCCUGUGUAAAAAAAAAAAAAAAACAAGCGAGAGGCUCUAAAGUGUAUCUGAUGCAGAGCGAGAGUCAUUCAAAGGAGAGGAUGUUCAAAAAUGGCGUUUAUUUAAAAAAAGAAAACCACCAUGCUGACUUCUGCCUCGUUAACACAAAAGUUGUAGAUAGAAAAUGGCGUUGGACAUUGACACAAAGCGUCCGAUAAAAUAAAUAAAUACAAUAUUAUCCUUCCAAAAUCUGUGAGACAAAAAAAAAGGAAAAAUAAGUAACAGAAACACAGAAGUACCCAUCCCACAGCUACACACCAGGCUCAAAGUCAGAGAACGUUUGACAGAUUGAAGCUUAAAACUCAAACAGACGCCUCAGAAACACAACAUGGAGUCACCUUGCUUGUCCAACCACAGACGACCGACCAGCAGCGGGUAAAUCUACUGCUAAAGAGCAUUUUCUUUAGAUUCAGAGUGGUGUCACACAACAAUAAUAAUAAUAUGCACAAAUCAUGUCAGUAGUUUUCAACAGAAACUUAAAAAAGCUGCCAUCACUGUGGUGCUUUUAAUACAAUCAAUGCCUUCGUCACUGAGGUGAUGGUCUCUGGAAGAGUCAGGAAGUAGAAUAACGGAGCGGUAAAGCUGAAUUUGUAGCGCUAAAACUCAGCUGUCAGUUCAUAUUUUGGGCCAUGGGUCUCUUCUGCAGAUUUCCAAUGCUUCUCUCCUCUGAAACAGGUUUUGAUUUAGGCGGGAAAUACUGUAACAGUUGUGUUUAAGAGUUGGGAGUCGAGUAUGGUGCUAGAGGCGGGAGGUGAUUAGCGUAGCAGAAAGACUGUUAGCAGCUAGCCUGACUCACUUCAAAGUUAAAAAACAGAUGUAAAACGUAUCAAUUAAAACUUGUUUGUUUAAUACAUGCACAAACAGAAUUGUAGAAAACACAAUUUGUAGUUUUAGAAGGAGUUAUGUGCUUUAGUUUCUUCUGAACAAACAACUGUUUAUCCAGCAGUUUGUAGCUAAAGCUAAUAGCUCCACUGAAACCACAAAAUGCUGUUGAUAAGAUAAUAGAUAAUAAGAAUAAUAAGAUAAAGCAUUUUAAUUAGUGAACUUUAGGCAGAUUUUUUUGACUUUAGACAGAGCCAGGCUGGAUGUCUGUGUUAGCAUUAGUGUUAAGCUAAGCUAGGCUAAUCGCCUCCUGCCUCUAGCUUCAUGUUAAUGUGCAAACAUCAAUACACUCCAUAUUUACCAAAAAUAUUGAACUAUACCUUCAAGCAUGUGUGGUUUUAGAGUCAUAAAAAGGGGUUUAAAAAUUAUAGAUUUUCCUCUGACAGUGGACGAAACGUGUGAAUACUGCGAGCAUUUAUUUACUUCAAACUUUGCCUUUAACACAAUACAAAACUUCCAUUGGAAAUCUGCUGUUUAUGGAAAUCCGUGAUGAACAGGACCUUAAAAACAGGCCUACAAGGACAUAAUGAUUAUAAAGCUGCAAUGAUUAGUCAAUUAAUCAAUCGAAGGAAAAUUAAUCAUCAACUAUUUUGAUAAUCGGUUCAUUGUUUAAGACAUUUUUCAAGCAAAAUUUGGUUCCUUCCAUUUUUAAAAUGUGAGAAUUUGCUGCCUUAAUUUGGUCUCACAUUGAAGUAAAUUAAAUAUUUUGGGGGUUGGACUGUUGCUUGGACAAAACAAUACGUCUGAUGUUGAUCAAUUAAUCGAAAAAGAAAAAUAAUCGAGAGUUGUUAGCUGCAGCCCUAAAAGACUAAAAAAUAAAUUUAAAAGCAUCAGUUAUCUAGAAAAAGGAACUUCAUCUUCCAGAGAGCACAUUUUCAAACAGCGCCAUCCACAAAAAAAAAAAACAAA